UCGAGAAUCUUCCACAAUGGACGAAAGUCUGAUGGAGCGACGCCGCGUGAUUGAUGAAGUCCUUCGGGACGUAAAGAUCUUUUAUGGGGGAGGAAGUAAUUGACGUUACCCCAUGAAUAAGAGGCUCCUAACUCUGUGCCAGCAGGAGCGGUAAUACAGAGGCCUCAAGCGUUACCCGGAAUCACUGGGCGUAAAGGGUGUGUAGGCGGCGAUGUUAGUCCUUCGUAAAAGCUUUUGGGCUUAACCCAGAAAAUGCGGGGGAGAGGGCAUUGCUUCGAGGAUGUGAGAGGUAUAUGGAACUCAAGGUGUAGGGGUGAAAUCCGUUGAUAUCUUGGGGAACACCAAAUGCGAAGGCAAUAUACUGGCACACUCCUGACGCUGAAACACGAAAGCGUGGGAAUCGAACGGGAUUAGAUACCCCCGUAGUCC
rnacentral:rRNA from 1 species